GUCCUUGGUCCAGGAUUGCACCUGGAGAGUUUCCAGUACUCUACCAUUCUCAGCUACAGGAGGGAGAGUCAAGCAGAGGCAUACCCAUUCCAUUCUUAGCUUGGGCAAUAGCUAGUGAGUGGAAGGCAAUCUGCUACGAGU